CAUUACACAUCUAGCUAAAAGAUUACUGUAUCGCUGUUGGCAUAACUUUUAUAGAUAACUUUCAUACCUAUUGGAAACAGAAGAUGUGCUACAGUAAUGACGGAGUCCAUCCAAAUCAUCUUGGAGGACCCGGUCCUCGCAUUUCAAGGCCGCGUUGACACAAUCACUUAUCAGUAACCCAAGACCUGCUCAGAUAACCCCUAGCAUUGUGUCGUUGAGCUGUCGUAGUGCUGCUGCAAAUGUACAUUUUCCCAGGGGUGAUGUCAGUCAUAAUGUAAGUAACCUAAUUUAUGUUCCUCUAAAUGCUUCUCAAUCCGACAGCUAUUGUCAGCAGUAAUCAUGUGCCUACGAACCUGAAUUCUCUUUCAUUUUUGUAAUGGGUCGCCAAACGGCCUAUAAGAACUCUUUCACCUUCACGCUAUGUGAUUAAGAUGCUUAUGUUUUUCUGUGAUCAUGGAGCUCAGCGGUGCUGUAGGCUACCGAUCCUCGCUUGACCGAGUUCACCAACGCAGAGACUGACAAUCCACACUUGACUGUGCCAGUCAGAUAACUUCAUAUUUAGCCCGGAACUUGAUAUAUAUUUAGGCGGGAGCCUCGACCCCGAAGCACAACGGGUCAGAGUCAAUGCUAAGAAUAACUUUCUCUCAAAGCAUUUUUAGCCGAUACUGAGGCAAUCGAAGCAUACACUGAGACACACUGUGAAAAUCUGUUAUUUGCACACUGAUUCUGUGGUGUACACAGGGUGUUGUUCCACCCAUGUCAACAGGAUGAACAUGCACUCACUGUCAGACAUUCAAACCAAGAGCAUUGAAAUCUCGACUUGCACGCUUUGGGGACAGAGGCUCCAGAUUGUCAUCAGAUUAGUCUGCCACACAGAUCAAUGAUCAUUCCAAAUGCUCCAGGUCUAAUGAUGGAUCUCAUUCCACUCGUGAUUCACCGCCUAAUAAACGCCAUCCUCGCCUGGGCACAAAUCUCAACGCACUGAGAUGUGCAGGGAGAUUAAGUCACUGGACAGUCGUAUGCCAACCAUCCAGAGCACAUCCUGGCCAGGCUUCCUCCACUGGUUCCAAACCCAACCCCUACCUCUGAACUGAGCAUGAAUGUAAAUGUUGUUGAAUUGGAUGACACUAAUGUACUGUCCACAGGUCUGACACUCUUAUGACACAGACUAUGAGCACUCUGAUGAAGAUGAUGAUGAUGAUGAUGAUGAUGCUAUGUACCACAGCUCUAGCAUCGUUCAGUCCCAGCCUGCCGGCCUGGCAGUGAUGGUCAACCAGAAAAUAUCCUUAUCUGAAAUCAUUGAGAGGGCAAGCAGGAACCUCAACGUGAAACAUGUACCAACUGCCAUGGCGUCCACAUCCAAGUUUGAUUAAUUCAGUUCCUCAAAGACAAACAUUCAUCCCGUUGUUCAAAGACUUCAUGUGAGCUCCAAUGCAAUUGGAGGAUGCCAAAUGGCAGAACUCCUGCCAUGCCAAGCAUAUGCACUCACUUAGCUACAUUUCAUAGUGCAGAUGAGAACGUUUUUUGCCAUUUCCUUUGUAUGGACAAAUCAUUUGCUUCGCUUGUUCAGCCUGCUUCUUUCCGUCACAGUUCAGACCAUAGAAAUAAGAAUGAAUAAAACGGGCUUGGGACUUCUAACCCUUGAAAAUUUGACAGGUAAACUCAUGGUUACACUCUCAAUGACUGCCUGGUAUUGUGAUGUAAUAAUUUCCAUGGUAUGGGUGCUGUGCUUUGGCAAAGUGGGUGGGGUUAUAUCCUGCCUGUUUGGCCCUGUCCGGGGGAAUCGUCGGACGGGGCCACAGUGUCUCCCAACCCCUCCUGUCUCAGCCUCCAGUAUUUAUGCUGCAAUAGUUUAUAUGUCGGGGGGCUAGGGUCAGUCUGUUAUAUCUGGAGUAUUUAUCUUGUCUUUUCCGGUGUCCUGUGUGAAUUUAAGUAUGCUCUCUCUAAUUAUCUCUAUUUUUCUCUCUUUCUUUCCUUCUUUCUUUCUUUCUUUCUUUCUUUCUUUCUUUCUUUCUUUCUUUCUUUCUUUCUUUCUUUCUUUCUUUCUUUCUUUCUUUCUUUCUUUCUCUCUCUCUCUCUGAG
rnacentral:lncRNA from 1 species